CCUACGGGUGGCAGCAGUGAGGAAUAUUGGUCAAUGAGCGCGAGCCUGAACCAGCCAAGUAGCGUGAAGGAUGACUGCCCUACGGGUUUUAAACUUCUUUUAUAAAGGAAUACAGUGAGACACGUGUGCCUUUUUGUAUGUACUUUAUGAAUAAGGAACGGCUAACUCCGUUCCAGCCGCCGCGUUACUGCGGAGGAUCCGAGCGUUAUCCGGCUUGAUUGGGUUUAAAGUGAACGUAGAUGGGUUGUUAAGUGAGUUGUGAAAGUUUGCGGCUCAACCGUAAAAUUGCACUUGAUACUGGCAGCCUUGAGUACAGUUGAGGUAGGCGGAAUUCGGGGUGUAGCGGUGAAAUGCUUAGA
rnacentral:rRNA from 1 species